GGGGUUGUGGCUCAGCGGUAGAGCGCUCGCCUGACAUGCGUGAGGCCCUGUGUUCAAUCCUCAACACCA
rnacentral:tRNA from 1 species